GCCAUUGUAGUUUAAUCGGCAAAACACAUCCGUGGUAUGGAUGAAAAACGGGUUCGAAUCCCGUCUUUGGCA
rnacentral:tRNA from 1 species